rnacentral:misc_RNA from 1 species
GUGAUGAUGAGAGUGGUAGCGAGAAUAGAGAUAAUGAUGAUGGAGAGCUCUGUGAAACCAAUAAUACAGAAACUCCACUGGACCUGCAUGUAGCAAAAACACCAUUACCACUCCAUCUGUCCUCCAUAAAGGAAGAUUUGAAGCUUUCUCUAUACAAUUGCUGAUUAUGUAAAACAAUACUCCAUUCAACAGUAUUUGAUCGUCCCAGU